rnacentral:rRNA from 1 species
GAUGAACGCUGGCGGCGUGCUUAACUCAUGCAAGUCGAACGGAAAGGCCUCAGCUUGCUGGGGUACUCGAGUGGCGAACGGGUGAGUAACACGUGGGUGAUCUGCCCUGCACUUUGGGAUAAGCUUGGGAAACUGGGUCUAAUACCGAAUAUGACCACUUCUUGGAUGUUGUGGUGGAAAGCUGUUGCGGUGUGGGAUGAGCCUGCGGCCUAUCAGCUUGUUGGUGGGGUAAUGGCCUACCAAGGCGGCGACGGGUAUCCGGCCUGAGAGGGUGUACGGACACAUUGGGACUGAGAUACGGCCCAGACUCCUACGGGAGGCAGCAGUGGGGAAUAUUGCACAAUGGGCGCAAGCCUGAUGCAGCGACGCCGCGUGGGGGAUGAAGGCCUUCGGGUUGUAAACUCCUUUCGCUAUCGACGAAGCCACUUGUGGUGACGGUAGGUAGAUAAGAAGCACCGGCUAACUACGUGCCAGCAGCCGCAGUAA